UAUAUAUAUAUAUAUAUAUAUAUAUAUAUGUGUGUGUGUGUAUAUAUAUUAUAGUUAUCAUAGUAUUGAAUGAAUUAGAACUGUGUGCAUUUUAAUCCGAGUAAUGUCAUGAAUCACCAGACCUGCCUUUUACGCGCUGUUUUGUGUAACGGAAUUUAUUUGAAAUGUUACUAGAAGUGAUCGUGUAGCAUACCGUUCCAAAAUACAAAAAAUUCUAAGCGCCACAAAAAAAAAAGGUUGUUCAGACUUGGACAAGAAAAGAUUAAAUAAUGUAUAUCCUGACUUCUCUAAAAACGAAGGUAAUAUAGCCGAUUUGACAACCAUAUUAAAUCAAAGAGACAACACUUACUGUGUUCUGUUCACGUUCCUGGUCGCCAAAAGACAGUUCCAAACUUUGUGAACAAAUGCUAAGGCGUAAGUUUAUCCAUUUGAGUACGUGUCUUUAUUUUCAGGGGCUUACUUUACACUUGGGAAAGAACCAUUCAUUCAUGUUUUUUAGUAAGAAGUGUUGCGAAACAUUGCCGUCACCUUUUCAUGUUAAUAUGCUAUUGCUGUUUCUUGAACAAUUUGAGUUAGUGUUUGGAGUAAAACAACUAUUUUUUGUUUCUAUCGUUAACUGAUCGAAGCUAAGUGUUGCUGUUGCAAUUUAUAACACAAUUGCGAUAUCAAACAUAUAUAGACGUUAACAGAUACUUUGCAUAUGAAAAGCAACUUUAACUUAGUUGUGCGUUGCUUCACAGUAUCCUGGAAAAAUGUUACUGUUCCAUUAUCAGCCACCUCAAACCCGAAAUAUUUAUACUUCACUGUGCACAGAUUUAUAGGUUGUACAUUUUUUAGUCAAUCUGGAAGUAAGGAAGGGAGGGGGCUGUGUGUGUGCCUGUAUUUUAAGAUGUUACACUAUGUAACACGUUAAAGUAAAAAUAUAUAUAUAUAUCAGGAGUAAAGAUAAGCCUUACUUUACCCCAGUGAAUUAACUACAAAACAAAGAAAGCCAAAUAGCAGUUCAAUUUAAACAUUGUUUUGUUUAUUCCCGAAAUAAAUAGUACAUAAAGUUGAAACCAUUUUUUUUUUUUCAUUCCUUGCCAUUGCCGUCUCUUGACAUUAAACCGUGGCCAUAGACACGUUUUCCAAAAUUAAUAACAUAUUUACUUGUGCCUUUUGGUAGCUGAACAAGCAAACAAAAACUGAAAUUUAACUUUAAACACUUCAAAUAAAACAAACGUGGAAAUGGUGUUGUAAAAUGAAAGGGAAAAAACCCCCCACCGUUUUGGUUCUUGUUUAAUACACUCCACAUAACAGAAAGUCGCAACAAAAAAUAUAUAACAUAUACAAUAAGUACAAAAAUAACUUUACAACAUUUCCAGCAAACUUGGCACUGUUUAAGCCAGGCAUUUCAGCCUUUUUUCUGUCCCAUGAGAUUCUGGCUUGCUCUAAAGCAGCACAAGGCUUUUUUGAUCCAGAUGGCUGCCCAUAGAGAUGUGCGCACACAUAAUCUGGUUUGUUUACUUUUUGCUGUCUAAAACUUUUAAAUAGAGGCUCCAGCUGCUGUGUUGAUCCUGUGUUUAUAUAUAAUCUCACAUAUCACACACAACUCUUUUUCAUUUGCCAUUUUUGAAACUGUUGGGCAACUUCUGGUGAGGCGGUAAAUAAGUGCAAGGUAUUUUUGUCAUUUCUAGCGAAUAUGAACGUCUGAUUUUUGUAUACUAAUACAUGUCAAAAAAUAUUCAUUCAAAUAUUCGGGUACAUUAGUUCUGGAUAGUAAAGACAUCAAUAAUGACUAAUAAUUUAGUUGUUGUUGGUGCUGAUUGUUUCAGGUUAACCCCCUAAUUUUGAAUCCCAAUUACAGUAAUGCUAAUGUGCACUAUGCCUGUUGUAUCCAUGGAACAUGUGCUCAGUCUCAGAAUAAAGUUGUUUUUACUGGGAGUAGUAAUUCAAAACUUCUUGCUGACUUCAUCACAAGCAUAAUCAACUGUUUGAAGGACAUCAGCGGCUGUUGACAGAAAGAAAUGGUACAGAGAAGUUUAGUUGUGUUUGCCCCCAGUAAAGAACUGAACCAGCACAACACCAGAGAGAAUUUGUUGCGUCUAAGUACGGUGUUCAAAAGACAUUCUUGUCCAGCCAUGUAGUGGCCAGGGUAGGGUAAUUUUCUGCUGUCUAUUUGCUUGUACUUCAGUAAUACUGUUUUACGACCAACCAGUCCACCCUUAAUUCUCUGCAGAAUUAAAUUAAUGGUAGUAGUUCUGAUGUUGGGUAACAGUAGUUUUUUCCCCACAUUACCAUAGCUAGAUAGAGAAAGAAAUGCAGUAAUUUAAAAUAUCCCUACUAAUAGCCAUCAUAUUAAAUGUUAAAAGUGCUCCCCUCGAUUAUAAGUUUGAUAUUAGUUAUGUUGAUGCAGUUUUAAGAAAUGUAACUGAAGCAGCACUUCUCUUCCCUCUAAGAGCUUUGUGUCUUGUGGACACCCCCAACAUUUUCACUGGGACCCCCCAAAAAUGUCCUCUCGGACCUUUUUAGUUGCGAGUCCUGGACCCUCAGUGGGAAAAGGUUUUGGAAAGCCCUGAGCAGGGGUGUUCUUCUCAGAACACUUGUCUCACAAGUCACUGAUAGAAACUUCCACCAACUACUCCUCACCACUUUUCUUACCCCUCUCCUCAACACCAGAUACUGCUUUUUUUCAUACAUGGCAAACUAAAAAACAUAACAAAAGAAAAGCUUAAUUGAUAACAUUCAAGGUUUAGGGAAGACUACUGUACUGCAUGGCAUUGAGGUUGUUAAUAUCUGGAAUAUAACUUUUUCAGGCAUUGAAGUUCAUCAGAUAUGCACAUGGAUAAGUUUUCUAAAAUACGAACAUAAUGAUGCUUGUGAUGGGAUUUAUAUCAGUUGCAACAUUCAUCAAGAAAAAAAAAAAUGUUGCAGAACCCUGUACCCUGUUAACAUCUGGCAGCUGAAGUUACUGUUGCAGCAGACGUUGGUUUUCAUAAUGUUAUUGGUUGGUUUGCUUGUACACCAGAGAACAUUUUUGCUGAAGAGGAUUUUGUCAUUUCCUUGAAACCAUUAUUUUGUCAAGUUGUUUCACUGUGUAUUAAACAUUAUGCUUGUUUUCAGUAAACAUUUUGAUUGUAUCGUGGUUCAAACACAUGCAUAAAAGCGCUAAACUAAGUUGUCAACUUCAAGAGGUUUGUUCGGUCAUGCAAAGCUUUCAGUGCAAUGUGAAAGUCAAAUCAGUUCAGAAAAAUACAGAAGCAAACCAUUAUUUUUUGUACAAAAAAUUAACUGGGUUAAUUUGGAAAAAAGCCUGUUGUUGCACUCCUGAGAUCUGUAUUGUUUGUGAACCAUGCUGAACAUCUGUAUGUCAUGAACAUUAAAAUUCCUUUUUUUUGUUGGCUA